rnacentral:rRNA from 1 species
GGCCCGCGUUGGAUUAGCUGGUUGGCGGGGUAACGGCCCACCAAGGCGACGAUCCAUAGCCGGCCUGAGAGGGUGGACGGCCACAUUGGGACUGAGACACGGCCCAAACUCCUACGGGAGGCAGCAGUGGGGAAUAUUGCACAAUGGGGGAAACCCUGAUGCAGCGACGCCGCGUGAAGGAAGAAGUAUUUCGGUAUGUAAACUUCUAUCAGCAGGGAAGAAAGUGACGGUACCUGAGUAAGAAGCCCCGGCUAACUAC